rnacentral:misc_RNA from 1 species
CGAUCCAAAAGCUCAAUUGAAGGAAUUGUAGGCCUUAUAUAAAAGAAACCAGAGUUAUAAACCCAUAUCCUCAUUGUAUGAGCAUAACGAGCCCAACCCAUGGCAGGUUCAUCAAAGACAUCGUUAUAUCCAUAAGCUGUCAUAUUAUUGUGACCAUCGGUCAUAGAUUCAACAUCUGAAUCCCUAUAAAGAUGAUCAAAUGGGUUCUGUAGGUAUACUAUAUCAAUAUCUGAAAGAAGAACGCUGUAGCCCAACUGCAAAAAUUCCCUCAGAAUGCGGAACUUUAAUCCAGAGACAGCAUGGUUGCCUCCUGUUCUUGCAACUGAAUCAAUACCUUUAUCAGGAUCUCUCUUGUAUACAGGAACAUUAUUUGACUUGCAGAAUUCUACAAUAUGGUCAUCUAAUGCUACAACAAGGUAAUUGGGUAUGCCAACUCUCUUGAUAUUAGUGAACCAGACCUCUAACAUGCUUUGCACAUUUGAAUUUGCAAGCGCAACUAUUAGCUCCCUCCCA